UCAGCAGGCCGCGGUAAUACCAGCACCUCAAGUGGUCAGGAUGAUUAUUGGGCCUAAAGCAUCCGUAGCCGGCUCUGUAAGUUUUCGGUUAAAUCUGUACGCUCAACGUACAGGCUGCCGGGAAUACUGCAGAGCUAGGGAGUGGGAGAGGUAGACGGUACUCGGAAGGAAGGGGUAAAAUCCUUUGAUCUUUUGAUGACCACCUGUGGCGAAGGCGGUCUACCAGAACACGUCCGACGGUGAGGGAUGAAAGCUGGGGGAGCAAACCGGAUUAGAUACCCGGGUAGUCCCAGCUGUAAACUAUGCAAACUCAGUGAUGCAUUGACUUGUGGUCAAUGCAGUGCUGCAGGGAAGCCGUUAAGUUUGCCGCCUGGGAAGUACGUACGCAAGUAUGAAACUCAAAGGA
rnacentral:rRNA from 1 species